rnacentral:rRNA from 1 species
GAUUAACGCUGGCGGCAUGCCUAAUACAUGCAAGUCGAACGGAAGCAGCAAUGCUUUAGUGGCGAACGGGUGAGUAACACGUAGGGAACCUACCUAUACGACGAGGAUAACUACUGGAAACGGUAGCUAAAACUGGAUAGGAUCAAUUGAGGCAUCUUGAUUGAUUUAAAGAUCCUUCGGGAUUACGUAGAGAUGGCCCUGCGGCGCAUUAGCUAGUUGGUGAGGUAACGGCCCACCAAGGCGACGAUGCGUAGCCGACCUUAGAGGGUGAUCGGCCACACUGGAACUGAGAGACGGUCCAGACUCCUACGGGAGGCAGCAGUGGGGAAUAUUGGGCAAUGGAGGAAACUCUGACCCAGCAACGCCGCGUGAAUGAAGAAGGUCUUCGGAUUGUAAAGUUCUGUGACCCGGG